CAGCCGCCGCGGGAAUACGUAGGUGGCAAGCGUUGUCCGGAAUUAUUGGGCGUAAAGGGCUCGCAGGCGGUUUCUUAAGUCUGAUGUGAAAGCCCCCGGCUCAUCCGGGGAGGGUCAUUGGAAACUGGGAAACUUGAGUGCAGAAGAGGAGAGUGGAAAUCCACGUGUAGCGGUGAAAUGCGUAGAGAUGUGGAGGAACACCAGUGGCGAAGGCGACUCUCUGGUCUGUAACUGACGCUGAGGAGCGAAAGCGUGGGGAGCGAACAGGAUUAGAUACCCCUGUAGUCCCUGUCUCUUAUAC
rnacentral:rRNA from 1 species